GCACGGCGCGCCCCCGACGGCCGCGGCGGCCUCCCGGACGCAGCACCCCUCCGCGAGAGCUGCUUUCGUGCCCGACGUUCUGCCCCUUGGAGGCAAAGCCGUCUCAAUGGGCGACAAGGCUGCAGAGAGCCGAAUGAAUGGUCCGGGCGGCGCAGUGAUCGGAGGGAGCGCUUCGAAGACACUGCGCACGCGCGCCCUGGGUUACCCAGGGUCCCCGCUUCUGGCCGCGAGGAGCCGCCGGACCGCGCAUGCGUGCGGGGAGCCGGCGUCCCGAACGGGCGCAGGUAGCGGUCGCUGUCCGCUGAGAGGCGGACCGCAAAAACCAGUGCGAGGGCACGACAGGUGCUUCCGAAUCGGGGAUCGAAGGCUCUGUAGACUGGGACACACGGAAAGAACCUAGAAGCUCCAGGCAGGGGAAAAGAGCACUGCACCGAGCGAGAGUCGGGGACUGCGGGCUCUGCUGCUGUGAAGCCAUUCCACAGUAUCCUAAGGAAUAAAUUAGGAUGAAGUCAGUCAACGGUCCUUUGGAAAGAUACCAGACUUAAUUUUCCCAAGUUUUGAAGACUGUAGGAACAACUAGGGCCUUUCCCUAGGAAUAUCUAUCCGUGCUGAGGGGCCAGGACCAGGGAGGGGCCUACAUGAAGGCCCAGCAACAAGACAGCCAUUCGCCUGGACAGUGAAGCUUCAUAAGGUUGCCAUCCACUACUCUCCUCGGCUCCUCAAGAUGCUCACCCUGGUGUUCCCAGCUUACGUUUCUUCCCAGAAUAAUAAUACGGGAAUGGGUUUAUCAGAUUUACAAGAACCAGCCUCCUCGUACGAACAUUGCAUUAUUUAGCCCUGUGUUUAAAUUCAUUUUCAAGACUCGACUUCACAAAGCCUUACUGACUUGUUGGCAGAGAUAGUUGCGCCCUCGUUUGUGCUCCUAGAAUAUUUUGCACUUAUUUUAGUGGUUUAUAUAUGAUCCUCCUCCACCAGCCUAUCAGCUUCAGCUAUUCCCAGCAUGUAACACAACACCCAGCCUAUGAUAGGUGCUCAUCAAAUAGUUCUUGACUAACAAUGAAGCAAUCGAUCUCAUUUUUUAAUUAUUUGCUUAAAGUUUGCCUUUUCAACUAAAUGUAAGCUCCAUGAAAGACAAGACCAUAUUGGUUCUCAAUGGGCAUUCAAUAAUUUUUUGAUGAAAGAAUUCAUAAAUAAAUGACUAAAGAAAUUGA